rnacentral:rRNA from 1 species
GAUGAACGCCGGCGGUGUGCCUAAUACAUGCAAGUCGUACGCACUGGCCCAACUGAUUGAUGGUGCUUGCACCUGAUUGACGAUGGAUCACCAGUGAGUGGCGGACGGGUGAGUAACGCGUGAGGAACCUGCCUUGGAGUGGGGAAUAACAGCCCGAAAGGGUUGCUAAUACCGCAUGAUGCAGUUGGGUCGCAUGACCCUGACUGCCAAAGAUUUAUCGCUCUGAGAUGGCCUCGCGUCUGAUUAGCUAGUAGGCGGGGUAACGGCCCACCUAGGCGACGAUCAGUAGCCGGACUGAGAGGUUGACCGGCCACAUUGGGACUGAGACACGGCCCAG